UACAGAGGUGGCAAGCGUUGUUCGGAAUUACUGGGCGUAAAGGGCGCGUAGGCGGCCUACUAAGUCAGACGUGAAAUCCCCCGGCUUAACCUGGGAACUGCGUCCGAUACUGGAAGGCUUGAAUCCGGGAGAGGGAUGCGGAAUUCCCGGUGUAGUGGUGAAAUGCGUAGAUAUCGGGAGGAACACCAGUGGCGAAGGCGACUACCUGGCCUGUUCUUGACGCUGAGGCGCGAAAGCUAGGGGAGCAAACGGG
rnacentral:rRNA from 1 species